AUCGUUAGAUACUUAUAAAGAUAAAGAAAGUCUGGUUACUGUACCUUUUGUAUCAGGGGAAUACAAAAUAACUAUAUAUUUAUUAAUCGAGUAAUACGGAACUUUUUAUUUAAGUGAUAGUUAAAUUUAUAGCUGCAAUUUUUUAUGGGGUGAUAAGUGUACGGUGUAUUUGGUACCUAUUUACUUUAUUAAUAGAAGGUUAAGCUUCUCUUAAUCUAUAUAUAAUUUAUUUGAGUAAAGAAAACAAGGCUUUAAAUUAGCUUAGUUAUUAAAUUGUUUUAAAUAAUUUUAAAAAUUAAAAGCUUUAUUAGACUUAAAAGGUUAAUUAAAAUAUAAUUUGUUUAAAUUAAUAAUGAAUUUAUUGAAUAUAUAGUGAAAAUAUAAAGUUACUCAGAUUAAGUUAGAUUGUUUAGCAAAAACAUUUUUUUCUAAAAUAAAAUAAAAUAUGGCCUGCCCAGUGAUAAUUAAACGGCUGCGGUAUUUUGACUGUGCUAAGGUAGCAUAAUAAUUUGUUUCUUAAUUGGAAGCUGGAAUGAACGGUUGAGCUGGUUUAAUAAGUUUGUGUAUUUAAAUAGAAAGUUAAAGUCAAGGUAAGAAUUCUUUGAUUGCUUAGGGGACGAUAAGACCCUAUAAGCUUUAUAAACAUAUAAAUGAUUUUGUUUUUUGAGUUAGUUUAUUUUACUGGGGCGGUAUUGGUGUAUUAACUACCAGUUAGUUCAAGAUCCUAAAAAUAUGGACGGCGUGUAAAAGUUACUUUAGGGGUAACAGUGCAAUAUUUUUGGAGAGGCCUUAUCGAUGAAUAUGUUUGCAACCUCGAUGUUGAAUUAAAAUAUCUAUGUGAAGCAGAAGGUACAUGAGAGGGUUUGUUCAACCUUUAAAUUUUUACAUGAUUUGAGUUCAAAUCGGUUUAAGCCAGAUUGGAUUUUAUCUCUAAGUAUGUUUAAGGCCUUUUUAGUACGAAAGGGUUGAUUGGCCUUUGUUUGC
rnacentral:rRNA from 1 species